rnacentral:hammerhead_ribozyme from 1 species
AUCCAUCUGACGGGUUCCAAAUAGGACGAAAUGCGCAUCCUGGAU